UACGAAGGGGGCUAGCGUUGUUCGGAUUUACGGGGCGGAAAGCGCACGUAGGCGGUUCGUUAAGUCGGGGGUGAAAUCCUGGAGCUCAACUCCAGAACUGCCUUCGAUACUGGCGAUCUUGAGUCCGGAAGAGGUGAGUGGAACUCCUAGUGUAGAGGUGGAAUUCGUAGAUAUUAGGAAGAACACCAGUGGCGAAGGCGGCUCAAUGGUCCGGUACUGCCGCUGAGGUGCGACAGCGUGGGGAGCAAACAGG
rnacentral:rRNA from 1 species